rnacentral:rRNA from 1 species
AGAGUUUGAUUCUGGCUCAGAACGAACGCUGGCAGCGUGGAUUAGGCAUGCAAGUCGAACGGGAAUCCGGGAGUUCAAGUUUUCGGACGAGAUCUCCCGGAGGAGAGUGGCGGAAGGGUGAGUAACGCGUGGGUAACCUGCCUCUGAAUUGGGGACAACUCCGCGAAAGCGGGGCUAAUACCGAAUGUGGUCGAGUGUCGCAUGGGACAACGAUUAAAGAUAGGGAUCCUUCGGGACCUGUCGUUCAGAGAGGGGCCCGCGUACCAUCAGCUUGUUGGUGGGGUAAUGGCCUACCAAGGCUUACGGUUAGGUGGUCUGAGAGGACGAUCACCCACACUGGGACUGAGACACUGCCCAGACUCCUACGGGAGGCUGCAGUCGAGGAUCAUUGUCAAUGCGCGAAAGCGUGAACAUGCGACGCUGCGUGGAGGAUGACGGCCUUCGGGUUGUAAACUCCUGUCAUUCGGGAAAAAUGGUCCCGCUCCUAAUAUGGGCGGGAUUUGAUGGUACCGGAAGAGGAAGCCACGGCUAACUCUGUGCCAGCAGCCGCGGUAAUACAGAGGUGGCGAGCGUUGUUCGGAUUUACUGGGCGUAAAGGGUGCGUAGGUGGCUUUGUGUGUUGGAUGUGAAAUCCCAUGGCUCAACCGUGGAAUUGCAUUCGAAACUGCAGGGCUAGAGUGCAGGAGGGGAGAGCGGAAUUCUAGGUGUAGCGGUGAAAUGCGUUGAUAUCUAGAAGAACACCGGUGGCGAGGGCGGCUCUCUGGAAUGUUACUGACACUGAGGCACGAAAGCUGGGGGAGCAAACAGGAUUAGAUACCCUGGUAGUCCCAGCCGUAAACGGUGCACACUUGGUGUAGGGGGUAUUGACCCCCCCUGUGCCGGAGCUAACGCGUUAAGUGUGCCGCCUGGGGAGUACGGCCGCAAGGCUAAAACUCAAAGAAAUUGACGGGGGCCCGCACAAGCGGAGGAGCAUGUGGCUUAAUUCGAUGCAACGCGAAGAACCUUACCAGGGCUUGACAUGCAGCUGCUUCCCUCCUGAAAGGGAGGGGUCCUUCGAGGGUGCUGCACAGGUGCUGCAUGGCUGUCGUCAGUUCGUGCCGUGAGGUGUUGGGUUAAGUCCCGCAACGAACGCAACCCUUGUGUUUAGUUGCCACCGGAGGUGAUGAGCCUUCGAGCACUCUAGACAGACUGCCCGUACAAGCGGGAGGAAGGUGGGGAUGACGUCAAGUCAGUAUGGCCCUUACGCCCUGGGCUGCACACGUGCUACAAUGGCUGGUACAGAAGGAUGCAAUACCGCGAGGUGGAGCGAAUCCCGAAAGCCAGCCCCAGUUCGGUGAAGUUGGAUUCGCUAGUAACGGCGUAUCAGCUACGACGCCGUGAAUACGUUCCCGGGCCUUGUACACACCGCCCGUCACAUCAUGAAAGCCGUCUGGACCCGAAGUCGCUAAGCUAACCCGCAAGGGAGGCAGGUGCCGAAGGUCUGGUGGUGAUUGGGAUGAAGUCGUAACAAGGUA